AAGGACCCCAGGAACAGAAAGACCAGCGGACCUACUUCUUAGCAGGUGGAUGCAACAGUUGGUGAAACAGAUCUUCUGUCCAAGAAAGCCUUCUGAGGUGAUAUCACAUGUGACUUCUGGAGAGAUCUGCUGUUUGUCAUCUCAGAGUGUAAAGAAGGGAUUUUCUUUUCUGGUCUUUUAUGGAAUUUGAAAAUUCAGGAAAAGUGGUAUUGAGGGGCAGGAAUGAUGAGAACUGUUCUUCUGCCUGCUCCUUUUCCAUCUCUGUAAAAUUUAAGUUCGAAGAAACGCUGGCUGAAUUGUAAGUAAUGUAACGAGAAUGAAGCCUUGUUAUGUAAUGGUCUUACAAUUUGUCCUGUAAGACAUUUGCAAUGUGUUAGAGGAGAUUGGACAUGAACAUUCAUUUGUUUGUGAUGAUACUUCAUGAAAACAGACCAAGUUGUUCAUGACUAGUAAUUACUGCACAUGUCUUUGUAGAUCAACAGCGUGUUCAUGUAUUUUGGUUUCACUCUGAAUAAAACACCUCAAGCUUC